rnacentral:Y_RNA from 1 species
GGCUGGUCUGAGAGCAGUGGUGUUUACAACUAAUUGAUCACAACCAGUUACAGAUUCCUUUGUUCCUUCUCCACUCCCAUUGCUUCACUUGAUUAGCCUUAA